GACGAAGGACCCAAGCGUUAUCCGGAUUCAUUGGGCUUAAAGGGUGCGUAGGCGGGUUGAUAAGUCAGUGGUGAAAGCCCAACGCUUAACGUUGGAACUGCCAUUGAUACUGUCGAUCUUGAAUGUGUUUGAUGUGGGCGGAAUAUGACAUGUAGCGGUGAAAUGCUUAGAUAUGUCAUAGAACACCGAUUGCGAAGGCAGCUCACAAAGCCACUAUUGACGCUGAGGCACGAAAGCGUGGGGAUCAAACAGG
rnacentral:rRNA from 1 species